rnacentral:ncRNA from 1 species
GGAUUGUGCUUAAUGAGUACGAUCUUUAUGAGAAGGUACGAACCGCAAAAAGGGAAUACUAGUUGUAUCUCUCUCCUCUGGUGACCAGUAUGUCUAAAAACUACCGUUUGGGCUGGGUGAAAUGCCCUUGGUCCACC